rnacentral:rRNA from 1 species
CCUACGGGAGGCAGCAGUGAGGAAUAUUGGUCAAUGGACGAGAGUCUGAACCAGCCAAGUAGCGUGAAGGAUGACUGCCCUAUGGGUUGUAAACUUCUUUUAUAUGGGAAUAAAAUGUUCCACGUGUGGGAUUUUGUAUGUACCAUAUGAAUAAGGAUCGGCUAACUCCGUGCCAGCAGCCGCGGUAAUACGGAGGAUCCGAGCGUUAUCCGGAUUUAUUGGGUUUAAAGGGAGCGUAGGUGGAUUGUUAAGUCAGUUGUGAAAGUUUGCGGCUCAACCGUAAAAUUGCAGUUGAAACUGGCAGUCUUGAGUACAGUAGAGGUGGGCGGAAGUCGUGGUGUAGCGGUGAAAUGCUUAGAUAUCACGAAGAACUCCGAUUGCGAAGGCAGUUCACUGGACUGCAACUGACACUGAGGCUCGAAAGUGUGGGUAUCAAACAGGAUUAUAUACCCCAGUAGUC